AGAUGUCACACUUCUCGAACCGUAACAUUUCAGCCUCAUGUUCUCUUAAUUAGCCUCCUCAACGCUCAACAGUAUCCUGAAGCUUCUUGGUUCAUGGCUGGCACGUGCACCUCCAUCACGCGUCACGUCAUCCGAUCUUCGAUGGUCGAACUAUCAAGAACCGCCAGCCGCAGCUGGACUUUGUUUUCGGCCAGGAUCUCGAUGAAGAGCAAUGGAGCGUCCGCGACGUUCGGCGUGCGUGAGCUCGCGACUGCAGCGACAGCGACAGCCGACGGUCCAUCUUGUAUAUACGUUGGGCCUAUUGAGACUGCAAGUAAAGAAACCCUAGAAGCUCUCUAUCGUCAAGUGAGAUGCUUCAGCUUUCUUUUGCUGGUUUAUUUGAUGCAAUUUGUUCAUUGAUAAAAAAUUCCCCCUUCCCUCCCCCCCCCUCUCUUCCCCUUCUCUUUUAUCUUUCUUUGUAUUGUUGGCCGUGUUUGGUUGCAGAGAACAUAUAGGAAAGUAUAUUAAUCGAAUUUAGAGUUUUAAUUUUAAACAUUAGGAGCGAGAACAUUUGUUAAAAAAAAAUUCUGCUUCUUUUUUUUUAUUAGAGAUUUUUCUUAUAGAUAUUCACAAUAUUUUUACUUGAACUUUCUUCUAUUAUUUUCUUAGGGAGGCUAAUUCUUACUUUGACCGGCAACAAUGAGACUAUAACGUGUGGUAUUGGAUUGAUGUUGUUUUUACUUUUUAGGCACGAGAUGCGUAUUACAGUGGUGAACCUUUGAUAGUUGAUGACAUGUUUGAUAGAGUAGAGGUAAAAUCAUAAGUCAUUUUCGUGGAUUAGAUUUCCAAAUUUUUUAUUAUUUCAUCUUUGUUAAUUCUUAAUAAAAUUGAAGCAGUUAAAAUUGCGGCGGUAUGGUUCAAAAUCUGUGGUUAAGUAUCCUCGUUGCAGUAUUAGGCGACAAUCCACCUAUGCAGAUGCUGAGGUAAUUCUCUUUAGAAUCUUUCAUAUAAUUACCCUGUCAACUGCCUAGUCUUGAAGCAAAUUGGUAUACUACCUGAAAGCAGAGAUAGGCACCCAGCUGAUGGGGUCAUCUAUUGCUGAUUUUAGUAAUCCUACCAAAAAUAAAAGAAAAUAUUGAAUUUGGAGGAAAUCUUAUAUUAUUUCACGGGGUUUUCCUUUCUUUCCUUUACAAACAUAAUUCAUUUGAUCACUUAGACUAGGGUUGGGUUCAUUUUAUUUUAUUUUCUAUCUUGUUUCUUGCCUCCACUUGAAGAUUGAUCGACAUGGAUGUAGGGCAGGAAGAUAUAUCUCAGGCUUUUGCACUAGCUAGCAUAUGGAUCAUCUUUCUUGCAUUUGGGAUUUCAGCAUUGGUUGGGCCUAUUAUCUACACUGUUGUUCUAGCUUAUCAAGAUGCAUUUGGCUCAGGAAUUUCCCAAGGCAGCCAAGCUUCCAUAAUACAGUUUCUUGCGACAGUGAAUGCCAUUCUCUUCAUGGCAGUGGGAGCUCUGAUUGGCUAUCCAAUUACAUCGGCUUCUGGUAAUAAUUUAUGGGUUAUUCAUAGAACUACAGAUUUUGUGCAAUUUUGAGUUUAAGUUAUUUCAAUCAUGAUGUUUGUGAAUUGGAAUAGUGCAUUUCCAAAGUUGUCUUCAGAUUUUUCAUUUAAAUGGUGUGAUUGAGUGUGCUGUGAAUGAAGAGAGCAAGUUCUUGGGUAUAAAUGGUGUAACAAAAGCCAAAAUUGGCAUGAUUGAGUGUGUCAUGCUUGAAGGCCAAAGGUUCUGGCUAAAUAUGCAAGUGGCUUGUAGAUCUCUCCAACAUGAGUUCACUUUUAUAAUCUUGAAUUUUGUUGUGACACUUUUAAUUAUGGGGUUUUAACUUUGCUGCAAUUAUUUGGUCCUUCAAUUUACUUAUUUUUCCCUAUAGCAAUUUAAUUGCUAACAAAGAUGAUUAGAUGAACAUACAUAAGAAUGGAAUCAAAAUAAACCCUAAAAUCUGUUUUUGCUUGAUUGCAUCACCCAGUUAAGGUGCUCCUGGGCCUAUGGAGGAAUGACUUGGUGGCACUCAAGGGAGCAUGCCCAAAUUGUGGGGAGGAGGUCAGUUCUGAUAGAUAUUAUCUUGCAUUCAUCUCUUUUACUCAGCAGCAGGCUCAGCUUGCAUGUAUAAAAAAUACUCCUUCCGUCCCAUAAGAAUAGGCUUACUUUCCUUUUUCAUAUAUCUUAAAUUAUAGGCUAUUUUCUGUUUUGAAAGUAGUAGUUCAUUUAUUAAUUUGCUAAUAUGCUCCUAUUAAUAUGCAUUGAAAAAUAAUAUUCAUUAGUUCUGAUAAUAAUUUAGUACCAAUAAUAAUUUAGUAUCAUGAGUUAUUUAAUUUUUGAUGGAGCAAUAUGAAUGGAUGGCAUGUUAGAAAAAAAAAAUAAACAAAAUUUAUUAUAUUAACUACAUUUUUUAAAACUAUGUGAAAAUAAAAUAAACCUAUAUUUUUGGGACGGAGAGACUAAUUAAAACAAAAAACCUGGAAUCUUCUACUCUCUUCUGUCUUUUCCACAGAACUGCGGACAUGUAUAUAGCACUAUCCAAAAACAAUAUUAUGAUCUCAUGGUCUAACUUAUAAUUCAUUUAUCCAUCUUUAACAGUUUGGCAUCUGUGUACAGGUGUUUGCCUUUGUGAGAUCAGAUGAGUCUAAUAACUCUGCACACAGAGCAGAUUGUCAUGUAUGUGAAAGCUUACUAGAAUUCCGCACAAAGGUUGAGCAAACAGUUUCAACACUGGGAAGACGGUGGGUCUAUGGCCGGAUAUAUCUUGUAUCACGUAGACGUCAGAGAUUGAAGUAAGAUCCCAACUAAUAUAUUCAAGCAGCUCUGUACAAUAUCAUGAUUCUUUCUGGAGUGUUUUCUCCUUUUACUUAGUUUUAGUGGGUAUGUUGAAGUGAUCCUUAUUCCUGAGAGAGUACAACAAUAAGAGCCAUUGAGAAUUUAUGUUGUAGAAAUACAAGCACUUCACUUACGAUUGAAGGAUUUAGAACUCAUAGAACAAACAAAUUCAAAUGAAUUCAUCGCAGCCCAAGAUUAGCAUCAAAAGAUACCCUCUUUCGAUUCUUGAAUUGAAUAACACAAGAAUACUUCUGCUUUUAGUUUAUGAUAUAUAACUACUAAAUAGGAGUUAGGUUGUCUCUGUAUUCCUUCUGUAGGUAGAAAUGCUAAUCAUAUUGCAGAUUGCCUAGCAAAGGCUUCUGGAAUUGGGGUACGCCUGCCUUUUCGGCAAUCUUGCAUCCCUUUCUCAUUGCUAUCCUUUCUAGCUGUUGUUUCUGUUCCGCAUGUGAUAUGAACAUCUUAAUUCAAUAAAAAAAAAAAUGACAGGAAGGCUUUUUGCUUGGGUUAGAU
rnacentral:misc_RNA from 1 species